CGUAAAGUGAAGACGUUGAGAGGCAAGGAGAUACCUCUCGUGAGAGUCGUUUGGACGGGAGCGACUGGUGAAAGCUUGACGUGGGAACUUGAGAGUAAGAUGCUGGAGUCUUAUCCAGAGUUGUUUGCUUGAGGUAAAUUUUCGAGGACGAAAAUCUUUUAAGUGGGGGAGAGUUGUAACGCCCACUUUCGUUUAAUCGUUAUUUAAUCGAGU
rnacentral:lncRNA from 1 species